AACCUACCUGGCACCCUUAUAAACAAUAACCUCAAGUCGAAACCAUUACAAAUGUUUCUAAUCAAUCCUCAGGUACCCUACUAUGUAAAUAAACAAUACAAUUUAAGAUGGAAUGUAGUAUGUUCAAUACCAGAGAAAAAUAACGAAGUGCGUGCCCCAAGACUACAGUCAAAAUGAGAGCUACCUUGAAAAACUACAACUACUAAUUUAUUUUUCAAAAAACAAGCCUGAAACCCUUUCUAAAGACUGUUGACAUCUAGUGGAAGCAAUAGGAACUGCAAUAUGGGAGGAAUUCCUUUGAAUAUUCCAUAGACAAGCAUUUGAAUGGCCUGUGACCCAAAAAAUAAUAAUUCCGGAUGGAUUCUCCUCGUGUUUUUGCCUGCCAUAUCAGUUCUGUUAUACUCACAGACAUUAUUUUAACCGUUUUGGAAACUUCAGAGUGUUUUCUAUCCAUAUGCAUGUCCUAGCUUCUGGGCCUGAGUAACAGCCAGUUUACUUUGUGCAUGUCAGUCAUCCGAACUUCCGAAUACUUACCCUAGCCUUAUUAAGAAAAUGCCAAGAGUGUGCAGGGCUGUCAUCAAGGCAAAGGGUGGCUACUUUGAAAAAUCUAAAAUAUAUUUUGAUUUUAUUAACACUUUUUUUUAGUUACUACAUGAUUCCCUAUGUUUUAUUUCAUAGUUUUGAUGUCUUCACUGUUAUUCUACGAUGAAGAAAAUUGAAUGAGUACGUGUGUCCAAACUUUUGACUGGUACUGUAUAUCAGAGGUAUUUGUGAGUAGCUGUCAUAUUGCAAACCGAAGUCAACCUAUUAGGGAGACAGCCUACCUCCAGUUUACAAACUGUCAUCAAUGUUGACAAAAUGCUUGAUUAUUUUUCUUUAUUUUGACUCGGACACAGAUAGAACAAUACAAAUAUUUGGCUAGGAUGAAUCAGGUGCAACUGCUUGGGAUACGGCAGGCUGGCAUGCAGCAGCCGCAGGAUCAGGAUCACCAUACUUUCUCCCCUGCCUCUGUGAUGGUUGCAUGUAGGGGAGAAUGUUGGACUACCGAGCUAUCAUUUUUAAAAUCCUGAUCUUAUUUCAAAUGCUCACAGAGACGUUUUUCAAUUCGGUUGAACAAGAUGUGUUGUUCAACAACAAAAAUGAAGUGGGUGCAACCAUGGGGCAAAACAUAUGAGGUUGGCUUAGAUUGUGGACAACAUGUAAGCUAUAUUUCGUCAUCAAUGUUUAUUGAAAACAUAAAUAAAUGUGCACAAUGACAAUUUGUUCUCUCUUAAAUACAUUGUUAAAGUGGUUAGCUGGGUAGUGAAUUUUAGCCAUAUUAGCAUUGACAGUAAAUCAGUCAAAACACCUCAAAACAAGACACGAGCUGUGUUCGAAUAUCCAUACUAACAUACCGUAUAUUACAUGCUUUAUGAGUAUAUACUAUAUACUAUUAGUUCAUUUUAGUAUACUUUAAACGAACGGUAUCCUUCCAGUUGAGCGUACUAGUGCUUUCUACUGGAAGUUGAAUUUGUUGCUAUGGAACCCCUUGCUAGUAUAACAAAUUACUAGCUAGACAUCAUAUGAUUUCAGGUGUGUUCGUGAAUUCAAUCUGGAGUGCCAGAGUGCGUUCUGGGCGUUCGUAUGCCAGAUUGUCCAUUUGUAAAUUCAUAGCGUUUCGCUCUCGGAGCGUUCAGGAGUAGGGUUGAGCCGAGCGUUGCGUUCUGACCUAACAGCAGUCAAGCACCCAACCUAACUGGCUAACAUUGGCUAGCUUGCUAGCUACUUCCAGACACAAAUAAGAACACCUCACUCUGACCAUUUUACUCGCCCUAAACAGGUGGUUAGGCUGUUUUCAUGUUAUCCAGAGCAUUGUUGACUGUAACUGUGCUGCUGGCAAUAAUUGAAUCAAUUUUUUUUGUGCCACCGUUUAGUAAGUAAUCAGUUAUUCUGCGCUCUGGAACACUCAGAGGAGAGUGCUCUGAAAUCGGAGUAGAUAGCCAGAGCGAAUUAACAAUGGCCAUUGAGAACGCACAACGACUAUACCUCAGCUAAGCUAAGAAUGAAGUGUUGCCUGUGUGGGGCCUCACACUCCCUCUUCCCGCUGUACUGAUGAUUGUUGUUGGUCUUUACAUGAUUUUCCUUGCAAUGGCAUUAUGGUUCCGCCAAUGCCUCAAGUGUUCUCCUGAGUGUGGUGACUGCUGUCCAAAUAUCGCGCCAUUCGAUUACUGUUUAGCAUGUGCAGAGUCGUGCAACUGUCGCAUGC